rnacentral:rRNA from 1 species
UACGUAGGUGGCGAGCGUUGUCCGGAUUUACUGGGCGUAAAGGGCGUGCAGGCGGUUUGCUAAGUCUAGGGUGAAAGCUCCCGGCUUAACUGGGAGAGGUCCUUGGAUACUGGCAGACUUGAGGAGGGUAGAGGAGAGUGGAAUUCCCGGUGUAGUGGUGAUAUGCGUAGAUAUCGGGAGGAACACCAGUGGCGAAGGCGGCUCUCUGGGCCCUACCUGACGCUGAGACGCGAAAGCUAGGGGAGCGAACAGG